rnacentral:misc_RNA from 1 species
CCGAGUGAGGGCCCUCUGGGUCCAACCUCCCACCCGUGUCUCUUGUACCUCGUUGCUUCGGCGGGCCCGCCUCACGGCCGCCGGGGGGCAUCUGCCCCCGGGCCCGCGCCCGCCGAAGACACCCACGAACUCUGUCUGAAGAUUGCAGUCUGAGUGAAAUGAUAAAUUAAUCA